GUGGUUUAAUUCGAUGCAACGCGAAGAACCUUACCUGGGCUUGACAUCUGCAGAAUCUUUCAGAGAUGAGGGAGUGCCUUUCGGGGAACUGCAAGACAGGUGCUGCAUGGCUGUCGUCAGCUCGUGCCGUGAGAUGUUGGGUUAAGUCCCGCAACAAGCGCAACCCCUUUCUCCAGUUGCCAUCAUUUAGUUGGGGACUCUGGAGAGACCGCUGCAGUAACAAUGCAGAGGAAGGUGGGGACGACGUCAAGUCAUCAUGGUCCUUAUGUCCAGGGCUACACACGUGCUACAAUGGUAGUUACAGAGGGCAGCGAGGCCGCAAGGCGGAGCUAAUCUCAGAAAAGCUGCCACAGUUCGGAUUGAGGUCUGCAACUCGGCCUCAUGAAGCUGGAAUCGCUAGUAAUCGCGUAACAGCAUGACGCGGUGAAUACGUUCCCGGGCCUU
rnacentral:rRNA from 1 species